rnacentral:lncRNA from 1 species
GGCCUUCUGCUGGGCCCCGGGUCUCUCACUGGCAGAAUGGAGUUCUCGGAGCUGAUCCAUACGGGCUGAGCCCAAGCAGAGUUUCUACGGGGCCCGGAGGCGCCCCCGCUUCGCGGCACGGUGUGAGUCACCGUCCACCACCUGCUCCUGUCGCCAGGGCCCGCGUCCUCUCCGGACCUGUGGCUGCUGCUGUUGCGUAGCGUCGACUCCUUCGAGAAGCAGGCCUGAGAUUGGGCGACUCCUGGCACUUCCUCCCGCCCGAACUCUACUGCAAGAGAGUAGCUCGCGAAGUGGGCGCGGUCGUAGGGGCCCGGGAAGGUGGAAGCGCCGGGCCUGGAAGAGGCGCGGGGACAGGGCACUCCCUGGGUGCCCUAGACCUGGCCUCUCUCCUCCCUGCGCUGCAGACCAACGCGUGGCGGCUGAGCGAGAAGCGGCGCUGCUACAGGGACCAGGAGCUGCUGCGAACUGCGCUGGCGGGGGCUCGUCCUUGGGCGCGGGGCUUCAUCAUGGACACGCUCUCGGCCCAGGCCGCGAAACAAGCCCGCGUGACUGGCGGAGGCACAGAGACCAAGGCCGCUUAACCUGGCUGGUUGCACUGGUCCCUGGAGAGAGGGCGUCCCCUGCAGGAGAGCUUCAUGCGCCUGGUGGAGGCCUGUGGGGACUCGGAGCAAAGCAUGGACAACUGGCUGAGUCGGCUGGACGGCUGCCGCUGACUGUAACAUGUAAAGCAGGCACUGAGCACCACCUGCCUGGCAGUCCAGGGCAUGGAGAGGCACAGACAGCACCCUGCUUGUGACUUCACUGGCCCAACUCAUCCUGGACCCCUUGAGCAAGACCAUGGCUGGAUUCCAGGAACUGGUGGAGUGGAAGUGGAUCCAGGAAAAUGCCGUGUGAAGGGAGGACUCAGAUGCACUCCCUGUGGUCUGGGCUCAACCAGCCAAAAGAGCAACAAAGACUCCAGAACCCACUCUACCUCCUCAAUCCCUUGGCCAUCUGUGGAGCCCCAGAGCCUGCGGCUGUGGCAAGGCCUGUUUCUGCGCUGGACCUGCUCACCUGAGCCUGCAGAAGCUGCAUGGGGGAAGAGUGUGGCAAAUAGUGACAGGAAGGGAGAAGACAGAAGCCUCUCAGCCAACUGCUUCAGCCGAGCCCCUAUUCUAAGCACUGGCUCCUUGGAUAGCAGCUGAGAUGUUCCUGAAACCUCUGCAGGCCCCUUAGGACCUUUACACCUUGGAUGAGGGUGCCUGCAACCCAGGUUAGCCAAAAGUACUGAGGGUCUUAAGUUUGAAGUGUCCAAAGUAUAGGGAGGUCUCAAUAAUAAAAGUCUCCAUGAUCAGCA